rnacentral:lncRNA from 1 species
UGUAAAUGAACUUAAAUAUUAAUGAGAAAUGAUUUUCUUCCUUAUGACUUCAGUGUACUUUUUAUUUUAUGUCAAUACUUCAAUAUGAAUUUAUAUGGACAAGUAUACAAAAAACCCUUUCGAGGAUUUAACUUCAAAUGAUUAAGCAUGUCAUAUAACAGAUAAAGUGAUGUUAAGGGACGAGGCAUUCCGAACUCAACACUUAAAUAAAAUAAAGUACCAAAUACUCAUCGGCUCCGAAGUGUGAGAUCGGUCAUUUGUUUACCACUCGGGAUGAAACAAUUAUACGAAAACCAAGAUAUAAGGAUCAAGACAUAAGGACCAAGAUAUAAGGAUCGAGACUUAAGGAUCAAGAUAUAAGGAUCGAGAUAUAAGGACCAAGAUAUAAGGAUCGAGACUUAAG